rnacentral:lncRNA from 13 species
CCCUCCCCCACAGAGCGUCUCCGACCGUCUGCUUGGGAUAGUUUGAAAUCGCGGUUUUGUUCGUCCCACUGGGUGUCCCAAACGAUCUGUCCCUGCAAUCCCCUGGGCUGGCCUACUGUCCAAGUCUCAUUCAGUCUCAAGUCCAGCCCUCUCAAGUCUCAGGUUGCCGGUUCAACAGGGCACCCGGACAAGCGCGCCCUGUGGGGAUUGCUGGGUAGGGCAGCCGCCGCCGCCCCGGCUGCCGGCUUCGCCAGGCAGACCUACUGCCUGGUGUCCCGUGUCUUUUUUAUACUUGGGAGUUUCCCCGUUCUGUGGGCAACAAAGAUCAGUCUGGAUAUGCAGCUCCAACUCACCAUUUGCGGAUUCAACGAGAGCUCCAAUCCUGGCUUGUUCUCACAGUGCCAUCUUGAGUCCUCCCCCAAGAAUGAUACUUUGAACAGAUCUGUGAUGCUCUGGCACUCCACACCUUCCCAGUGGCUGCAAUUACACACAUCAAGUUUCAGAAUGAACGACAAGUCUACAGACCAGUGCCAAGGAGCCGAAGAGAAGAAAUGAGAAUAACCAAGGUAUGCUGUGUCCAAUUAUUUAUUAGCAAACAAAGGUCCAAACAAUGUGACUGUAAGCUUUGUGAGAACAGGGAGUUUGUAUCUUUUCACCUGUGUAUCGGCAGUACCUAGUACCAGACCUGGCGCAUAAUAGACAAUGCAUAUUUGUGGAACAGAUGAAUGAAUGAACAAUUAAAAAAUACAUUGGACUAUAUUCUAGUUUGCAUUUUCUUGAGUGACAGAGAGAGUAAUAGACUUUUAGUGACCUGGGAAUGCCCACAGGGACGUAUCUCCAGAAGAAACUCGUUGUCUUGCAUGUUGCGUUGGAAGUAACACACAUGAGCAGAGACAUGGUUUCAUAUUUCUAGCCAGAAUUCUUAAAAACCCUGCGAUCUGUCUUCUGCUCCUAUGUGUCUAGUCCUGCCUGCUCCUCUCUUUUGUCAAAAUAAUUUGGUCAAAAGGGAGAAAAAAAUGGAAACUUUUUGAGUCCCAAGAUCCUUAAUUUGCACUUGCAAAUAACGUGCAUGCUAAAUUAAACCUGGCAAUUUAGAGAAUUAAAUAUUUUACUUAUCUCUUUUUUCUUUUUUUUAUAGGUUUAAGGAACCUAUUUAAAAAAACCCUAUAAACCCUAUGCAGUCUCUGGAUAAAAAGUGUACUACUAUAGGAAAUGAAAUUAAUAAACAUGUUAUUAACAGCA